AACUAACGCUGGCGGCGUGCCUAACACAUGCAAGUCGUACGAGAAAGUUGGCUUCGGCCGAUGAGUAAAGUGGCGCACGGGUGAGUAAUGCGUGGAUAAUCUGCCCUUUAGUUGGGAAUAACGUACCGAAAGGUGCGCUAAUACCUGAUAAUACUGCAUAACUACUGUUGUGUAGUCAAAGAAGGCCUCUGUUUACAAGCUUUUGCUGAAGGAUGAGUCCGCGUACCAUUAGCUGGUUGGUGGGGUAAUGGCCUACCAAGGCUACGAUGGUUAGCUGGUCUGAGAGGAUGAUCAGCCACACUGGAACUGAGACACGGUCCAGACUCCUACGGGAGGCAGCAGUGAGGAAUAUUGGUCAAUGGGCGAGAGCCUGAACCAGCCAAGUCGCGUGAAGGAAGAAGGUUCUAUGGAUUGUAAACUUCUUUUGUUAAGGGAAUAAAAGAGUUACGUGUAACUUAUUGUAUGUACUUUACGUAAUAAGGAUCGGCUAACUACCGUGCCAGC
rnacentral:rRNA from 1 species